GAUGAACGCUGGCGGCGUGCUUAACACAUGCAAGUCGAACGAAACACCUUAUUUGAUUUUCUUCGGAACUGAAGAUUUGGUGAUUGAGUGGCGGACGGGUGAGUAACGCGUGGGUAACCUGCCCUGUACAGGGGGAUAACAGUCAGAAAUGACUGCUAAUACCGCAUAAGACCACAGCACCGCAUGGUGCAGGGGUAAAAACUCCGGUGGUACAGGAUGGACCCGCGUCUGAUUAGCUGGUUGGUGAGGUAACGGCUCACCAAGGCGACGAUCAGUAGCCGGCGUGAGAGAGUGAACGGCCACAUUGGGACUGAGACACGGCCCAAACUCCUACGGGAGGCAGCAGUGGGGAAUAUUGCACAAUGGGGGAAACCCUGAUGCAGCGACGCCGCGUGAGUGAAGAAGUAUUUCGGUAUGUAAAGCUCUAUCAGCAGGGAAGAAAAUGACGGUACCUGACUAAGAAGCCCCGGCUAACUACGUG
rnacentral:rRNA from 1 species